GACGAACGCUGGCGGCGUGCCUAAUACAUGCAAGUAGAACGCACAGUUUAUACCGUAGCUUGCUACACCAUAGACUGUGAGUUGCGAACGGGUGAGUAACGCGUAGGUAACCUGCCUGGUAGCGGGGGAUAACUAUUGGAAACGAUAGCUAAUACCGCAUAAUAUUAAUUAUUGCAUGAUAAUUAAUUGAACGGUGCAAUUGCACCACUACCAGAUGGACCUGCGUUGUAUUAGCCAGUAGGUGAGGUAACGGCUCACCUAGGCGACGAUACAUAGCCGACCUGAGAGGGUGAUCGGCCACACUGGGACUGAGACACGGCCCAGACUCCUACGGGAGGCAGCAGUAGGGAAUCUUCGGCAAUGGACGAAAGUCUGACCGAGCAACGCCGCGUGAGUGAAGAAGGUUGUCGGAUCGUAAAGCUCGGUUGUAAGAGAAGAACGGGUGUGAGAGUGGAAAGUUCACACUGUGACGGUAUCUUACCAGAAAGGGACGGCUAACUACGUG
rnacentral:rRNA from 1 species